GUGGGGAAUAUUGGACAAUGGGGGGAACCCUGAUCCAGCCAUGCCGCGUGUGUGAAGAAGGUCUUCGGAUUGUAAAGCACUUUAAGUUGGGAGGAAGGGCAGUAAGUUAAUACCUUGCUGUUUUGACGUUACCGACAGAAUAAGCACCGGCUAACUUCGUGCCAGCAGCCGCGGUAAUACGAAGGGUGCAAGCGUUAAUCGGACUUACUGGGCGUAAAGUGCGCGUAGGUGGUUUUGUAAGUUGGAGGUGAAAUCCCCGGGCUCAACCUGGGAACUGCCUCCAAAACUGCAUGACUAGAGUACGGUAGAGGGUAGUGGAAUUUCCUGUGUAGCGGUGAAAUGCGUAGAUAUAGGAAGGAACACCAGUGGCGAAGGCGACCACCUGGACUGAUACUGACACUGAGGUGCGAAAGCGUGGGGAGCAAACAGGAUUAGAAACCCGGGUAGUCC
rnacentral:rRNA from 1 species